rnacentral:rRNA from 1 species
AGAGUUUGAUCCUGGCUCAGAUUGAACGCUGGCGGCAGGCCUAACACAUGCAAGUCGAACGGUAACAGAGAAACAGCUUGCUGUUUCGCUGACGAGUGGCGGACGGGUGAGUAAUGUCUGGGAAACUGCCUGAUGGAGGGGGAUAACUACUGGAAACGGUAGCUAAUACCGCAUAACGUCGCAAGACCAAAGAGGGGGACCUUCGGGCCUCUUGCCAUCGGAUGUGCCCAGAUGGGAUUAGCUUGUUGGUGGGGUAACGGCUCACCAAGGCAACGAUCCCUAGCUGGUCUGAGAGGAUGACCAGCCACACUGGAACUGAGACACGGACCACACUCCUACGGGAGGCAGCAGUGGGGAAUAUUGCACAAUGGGCGCAAGCCUGAUGCAGCCAUGCCGCGUGUAUGAAGAAGGGCUUCGGGUUGUAAAGUACUUUCAGCGGGGAGGAAGGGAGAAAAGUUGAUACCUUUGCUCAUUGACGUUACCCGCAGAAUAAGCACCGGCUCACUCCGUGCCAGCAUCCGCGGUAAUACGGAGGAUGCAAGGCGUUAAUCGGAAUUACUGGGCGUAAAACGCACACGGGCGGUUUGAUAAGUCAGAUGUUAAAAUCCCCGGGGGUCACCCAGGAACUGCAUCUGAUCCUGGCAAGCUUGAGUGGUGGGGAAGGGGGGUAGAAUUCCAGGUGUAGCGGUGAAAUGCGUAGAGAUCUGGAGGAAAUACCGGUGGCGAAGGCGGCCCCCUGGACGAAGACUGACGCUCAGGUGCGAAAGCGUGGGGAGCAAACAGGAUUAGAUACCCUGGUAGUCCACGCCGUAAACGAUGUCGACUUGGAGGUUGUGCCCUUGAGGCGUGGCUUCCGGAGCUAACGCGUUAAGUCGACCGCCUGGGGAGUACGGCCGCAAGGUUAAAACUCAAAUGAAUUGACGGGGGCCCGCACAAGCGGUGGAGCAUGUGGUUUAAUUCGAAGCAACGCGAAGAACCUUACCUAAGCUUGACAUCCUUUUGACCGAUGCCUAAUCGCAUCUUUCCCUUCGGGGACAGAAGUGACAGGUGGUGCAUGGUUGUCGUCAGCUCGUGUCGUGAGAUGUUGGGUUAAGUCCCGCAACGAGCGCAACCCUUGCCUUUAGUUGCCAGCAUUAAGUUGGGCACUCUAGAGGGACUGCCAGGGAUAACCUGGAGGAAGGUGGGGAUGACGUCAAAUCAUCAUGCCCCUUAUGCUUAGGGCUACACACGUGCUACAAUGGGUGGUACAGAGGGCAGCCAAACCGUGAGGUGGAGCUAAUCCCUUAAAGCCAUUCUCAGUUCGGAUUGUAGGCUGAAACUCGCCUACAUGAAGCUGGAGUUACUAGUAAUCGCAGAUCAGAAUGCUGCGGUGAAUGCGUUCCCGGGUCUUGCACACACCGCCCGUCA